rnacentral:rRNA from 1 species
GGGGAAGCUUAUCAUGCAGUCGAGCGAGCUUGCCUAGAUGAUUUUAGUGCUUGCACUAAAUGAAACUAGAUACAAGCGAGCGGCGGACGGGUGAGUAACACGUGGGUAACCUGCCCAAGAGACUGGGAUAACACCUGGAAACAGAUGCUAAUACCGGAUAACAACACUAGACGCAUGUCUAGAGUUUGAAAGAUGGUUCUGCUAUCACUCUUGGAUGGACCUGCGGUGCAUUAGCUAGUUGGUAAGGUAACGGCUUACCAAGGCAAUGAUGCAUAGCCGAGUUGAGAGACUGAUCGGCCACAUUGGGACUGAGACACGGCCCAAACUCCUACGGGAGGCAGCAGUAGGGAAUCUUCCACAAUGGACGAAAGUCUGGUGGAGCAACGCCGCGUGAGUGAAGAAGGGUUUCGGCUCGUAAAGCUCUGUUGGUAGUGAAGAAAGAUAGAGGUAGUAACUGGCCUUUAUUUGACGGUAAUUACUUAGAAAGUCACGGCUAACUACGUGCCAGCAGCCGCGGUAAUACGUAGGUGGCAAGCGUUGUCCGGAUUUAUUGGGCGUAAAGCGAGUGCAGGCGGUUCAAUAAGUCUGAUGUGAAAGCCUUCGGCUCAACCGGAGAAUUGCAUCAGAAACUGUUGAACUUGAGUGCAGAAGAGGAGAGUGGAACUCCAUGUGUAGCGGUGGAAUGCGUAGAUAUAUGGAAGAACACCAGUGGCGAAGGCGGCUCUCUGGUCUGCAACUGACGCUGAGGCUCGAAAGCAUGGGUAGCGAAAAGGAUUAGAUACCCUGGUAGUCCAUGCCGU